UAGGUCUGUCUACACAGCAA
rnacentral:miRNA from 1 species